rnacentral:rRNA from 1 species
AGACAGGUGCUGCAUGGCUGUCGUCAGCUCGUGUUGUGAAAUGUUGGGUUAAGUCCCGCAACGAGCGCAACCCUUAUCCUUUGUUGCCAGCGGUUCGGCCGGGAACUCAAAGGAGACUGCCAGUGAUAAACUGGAGGAAGGUGGGGAUGACGUCAAGUCAUCAUGGCCCUUACGAGUAGGGCUACACACGUGCUACAAUGGCGUAUACAAAGAGAAGCGACCUCGCGAGAGCAAGCGGACCUCAUAAAGUACGUCGUAGUCCGGAUUGGAGUCUGCAACUCGACUCCAUGAAGUCGGAAUCGCUAGUAAUCGUAGAUCAGAAUGCUACGGUGAAUACGUUCCCGGGCCUUGUACACACCGCCCGUCACACCAUGGGAGUGGGUUGCAAAAGAAGUAGGUAGCUUAACCUUCGGGAGGGCGCUUACCACUUUGUGAUUCAUGACUGGGGUGAAGUCGUAACAAGGUAACCGUAGGGGAACCUGCGGUUGGAUCACCUCCUUACCUAAAGA